ACAGGCAUAACUAGGGCUGGAGAAGUCUUAGCUUGUCGGGUGGAUGUUACAGGAGACUCAUCAGUAAUCAAAUUAGUAGCUGAAGACAUAUCAGGUCGUGUUGAUGUUACAGGAGGCUCAUCAGAUUUCAUUUUUGAUGUCUGAUUGAGUAUCAUAGGCAUGACUGGAGCUGGAGAAGUCCUAGCUUGUCGUGUUGAUGUUACACCAGACUCAUCAGAUGUCAAAAUAGUAGAAGAAGUCCUAUCAGGUCGUGUUGAUGUUACAGGAGGCUCAUUAGAUUCCAUAUUUGAUAUCUGAUCGACUAUCUCAGGCAUAACUGGAGCUGGUAAAGUCCUAGGUUGUCGUGUAGAUGUUACACAAGACACAUCAGAUGCCAAAUUAGUAGAAGAAGUCCUAUCAGGUCGUGUUGAUGUUACAGGAGGCUCAUCAGUUGCCAUAUAAGUGUCCCGACCGAGUACCACAGGCAUCACUCUGACUGGAGUACUCCUAGUUCGUCGUG
rnacentral:lncRNA from 1 species